rnacentral:rRNA from 1 species
UACGAAGGGGGCUAGCGUUGCUCGGAAUCACUGGGCGUAAAGGGUGCGUAGGCGGGUUUUUAAGUCUGGGGUGAAAUCCUGGAGCUCAACUCCAGAACUGCCUUUGAUACUGAAGAUCUUGAGUUCGGGAGAGGUGAGUGGAACUGCGAGUGUAGAGGUGAAAUUCGUAGAUAUUCGCAAGAACACCAGUGGCGAAGGCGGCUCACUGGCCCGAUACUGACGCUGAGGCACGAAAGCGUGGGGAGCAAACAGG